rnacentral:rRNA from 1 species
GACAGAGGAUGCAAGCGUUAUCCGGAAUGAUUGGGCGUAAAGCGUCUGUAGGUGGCUUUUCAAGUCCGCCGUCAAAUCCCAGGGCUCAACCCUGGACAGGCGGUGGAAACUACCAAGCUGGAGUACGGUAGGGGCAGAGGGAAUUUCCGGUGGAGCGGUGAAAUGCGCAGAUAUCGGGAAGAACACCCGUGGCUAAGGCGGCUCUCUAGUACGGUACUGACGCUGAGACGCGAAAGCGUGGGGAGCGAACAGG